rnacentral:lncRNA from 1 species
GGCUGCCUCAGCCCACUCAGGACAGCUCUGAGGGCUGCCCUGGCCAGGCUCUCCCGCAGCCGCUCCAGCGUCCGCCUCCAUUGUUCCUCAAUAACCAUCCUGCAGACUCAGCCUGCUGCCUGGGAAACCAAACCCGCAACACACAGAGGGUGACGGUAAAGCUGUAAUUUAGAAACCAAUGGGCAGUAAACCAGAUCAGAAAUAAAAGCUCCCCAUCAGCUGGAAACCCAAACUCAUUCCAAUCUCACAACCAAGGCUCACUCCCUCCAAAUGCCCACUAUGGAGGACCACAGAGAUCGAGGCUUCCCGGGGAGCCGUUCGAGAUUCUGUCUCCCAUGUUCUUGAGGUUCCUAAACCCCUAAACCAGGACACCGCACACCCGGGACGCCACCGUAGGAUAGAGGGGGUUUGUCCUAAAGAAACACUGUCACGUCAGACAUGGGAUGGCCUGGCGCAAAAGAAUGCACCACAGCUUAAGUGACACCGAAGAUGCAAAAGCCAGUGUCCCAGGAUGCGGAGUAAGGGCACCCAGACACCGAUGCUCAGAAUAUCUCAGAGACACACCUGCAUCACCCCAGAGACGCUGGAAGCCACAGAGUGCACACAGAUGGCUUUCUUACCCACCGUGCAUGGCCUGCCCCAGCAAAAGGGGCCGGCUGAGUUUCCGGGGCAGCAGAUGAAGAAACCUCGGCUCUCAGAGAGGGAAAUCAGAGCCAGCGUUUCGCCAUGUUGACCAGGCUGGUCUGGAACUCCUGACCUCAUGUGAUCCACCCGUCUCGGCCUCCCAAAGUGCUGGGAUUACAGGCGUGAGCCACCGCGUGCCCAGACAACUCCUGCUGCCUCUUCACCUCUAAUGUUUCCCAUCUCAUCUCCGAAGAGCAGCCAAGCAGAAGCUCAAAAGAACCGCUCCAGCUCCCCCCUGCUCCCAGGACCUGCUCAGACCCGGGGGGAUGUCAUGGCCCGGAUCUGUCUGUCUUGUCUACAGGUAGAGGGCGGCUUAUCUGUCCCCAGUAGACCCUGUCUGUACCCCUCUCACCCCAUGAGACCCUACCUCGGCCUCUCCUUCUCGCUGAGACAUCUCCUCCCUCCCUGGUCCUCCACCUUCAGGUCCUCACGGCUGAGAGCCCCUGGCAGCUCCGGGAAUUAUCGGGCGGCAUCCUGACUCCCGCCUUGCUCCUCAGACCCCUCCCCACACCCUGGCCCAUUCCGGGUACAAGGGCGACUUGGUUGCCUUCAUUAUAGACUAUAGCACAAAAACACAAUAAAAUAAAAUGAAUGUUUUCUCCGCGAAAAUCCAUUAGAUGAGUUACUGUUGUAAUUUAAUAAUGGGAUGGGAAACUACAGCAAGUUACCGAAGUAUAUAAUUAAAGUAAAUCUAUUUUAAAG